GAUGAACGCUGGCGGCGUGCCUAAUACAUGCAAGUCGAGCGAACGGACGAGAAGCUUGCUUCUCUGAUGUUAGCGGCGGACGGGUGAGUAACACGUGGAUAACCUACCUAUAAGACUGGGAUAACUUCGGGAAACCGGAGCUAAUACCGGAUAAUAUUUUGAACCGCAUGGUUCAAAAGUGAAAGACGGUCUUGCUGUCACUUAUAGAUGGAUCCGCGCUGCAUUAGCUAGUUGGUAAGGUAACGGCUUACCAAGGCAACGAUGCAUAGCCGACCUGAGAGGGUGAUCGGCCACACUGGAACUGAGCCACGGUCCAGACUCCUACGGGAGGCAGCAGUAGGGAAUCUUCCGCAAUGGGCGAAAGCCCGACGGAGCAACGCCGCGUGAGUGAUGAAGGUCUUCGGAUCGUAAAACUCUGUUAUUAGGGAAGAACAUAUGUGUAAGUAACUGUGCACAUCUUGACGGUACCUAAUCAGAAAGCCACGGCUAACUACGUG
rnacentral:rRNA from 1 species